GAAACCACUGCCUUGAAAAUUAAAUUCGGGCGACAACAAGGUGCACGCCCUUCAUGCUGAUUCAUCUCCCAUGGUUUGCGCUAGGGGUGAGCAAAACCGGACCAGAACCGACGAACCGGACCGAAUCGAUCGGUUUUUCGGUCCGCGUCGGUUUUGGUCCAUGUAUUAUCUUAUCCUAUGGAGUUUCUAAUUCAGUUGCUAUUAGUUUAGUGCUCCACUUCAUCUCAAUAUGCUUAAACAAUAGUAGAUUAAAAUUUUAUGUUUGUUUACUACAUUUUUAGAUAUUUUUUCCAUUAAUAAGUUUUUGUGUUUGAUACAAUUAAAAUUUAGGAAAGCACAGAACAAAGAACUAGGAGGUAAAGCUGGGGAUCGGUGAAAAGGAAUGAGUGAGUAUCAAUUUUCUAUAAGGGUGCGUUCUCUUUGAUUGUAAAUUUAUUAUCGGAAACUUUUGCUAUAUAUCUCAUUGUUUCGUCUUUUUUUUUUGUUUUGUUUGAAAAGGGUUAUCUAUAUUGAUUGCACGAAUUUAAUUUGUGAAAUAUGUAGAUUCAUGGGAAUACAUGAAUAUUAGAAAUCGAGAAGUCUCCAUAAUUUGUAUUUGGUUGCUAUAUAUUUAAGGAGGAACGAGUAAGGGUCAAAUUCUAUUUUGUAGGAAAUGAUGGAAAAGAAAGGAAAGAUUUAAAGGGUGAAAUUUUGUUUAUCCCUAAUUUUCCCAUGAUAAAUUUACAACCAGAAAGAACGCAGCCUAAUUCUUUUUUGUGUUGAUACAGUUGAUUAUGAAGAAACUGAAAGCGAAAAAAAUGAAAGGCAAGAAAAAGAAACAAGGAAACUGUUGUGUUUGAGGUGCCUCUAAAGAAUUAAGAGGUGAAGCAAUGGAUCAAUGAAGAAGGAAUGAGUGAGUGUCCAUUAAUUUCUCCAAGAUGACUUGCUCAACAUUCUUUUUUUUUCUUUUUUUUUUGCUAAGUAUGAUCAUAUUAAAACUCCCUAUAUAUCUUUGUUUGAAAUUUUAUUGAUAGGAUUAUUACAUCGACGGUUAAAGAGGAUCCAUCUUUGGAU
rnacentral:lncRNA from 1 species